GUGCUUGCUUCAGCAGCACAUAUUUUAAAAUUGGAACGAUACAGAGAUUAGCAUGGCCCCUGUGCAAGGAUGACACACAAAUACUGGAAAUCCUGACAGUUGAG